CCUACGGGGGGCAGCAGUGGGGAAUAUUGCACAAUGGGGGAAACCCUGAUGCAGCGACGCCGCGUGAGUGAAGAAGUAAUUCGUUAUGUAAAGCUCUAUCAGCAGGGAAGAAAAUGACGGUACCUGAGCAAGAAGCCCCGGCUAACUACGUGCCAGCAGCCGCGGUAAUACGUAGGGGGCAAGCGUUAUCCGGAUUUACUGGGUGUAAAGGGAGCGUAGACGGCAGUGCAGGUCUGGAGUGAAAGGCGGGGGGCCAACCCCGGGACUGCUUUGGAAACUGUACGGCUGGAGUGCAGGAGGGGUAAGUGGAAUUCCUGGUGUAGCGGUGAAAUGCGUAGAUAUUAGGAGGAACAC
rnacentral:rRNA from 1 species